GAUGAACGCUGGCGGCGUGCCUAAUACAUGCAAGUCGAGCGAACGGACGAGAAGCUUGCUUCUCUGAUGUUAGCGGCGGACGGGUGAGUAACACGUGGAUAACCUACCUAUAAGACUGGGAUAACUUCGGGAAACCGGAUCUAAUACCGGAUGAUAUUUUGAACCGCAUGGUUCAAAAGUGAAAGACGGUCUUGCUGUCACUUAUAGAUUGAUCCGCGCUGCAUUAGCUAGUUGGUAAGGUAACGGCUUACCAAGGCAACGAUGCAUAGCCGACCUGAGAGGGGGAUCGGCCACACUGGAACUGAGACACGGUCCAGACUCCUACGGGAGGCAGCAGUAGGGAAUCUUCCGCAAUGGGCGAAAGCCUGACGGAGCAACGCCGCGGGAGUGAUGAAGGUCUUCGGAUCGUAAAACUCUGUUAUUAGGGAAGAACAUAUGUGUAAGUAACUGUGCACAUCUUGACGGUACCUAAGCAGAAAGCCACGGCUAACUACGU
rnacentral:rRNA from 1 species